UACGUAGGGUGCAAGCGUUGUCCGGAAUCAUUGGGCGUAAAGAGCUCGUAGGCGGUCUGUCGCGUUUGCUGUGAAAACCUGGGGCUUAACCCUGGCUUGCAGUGGGUACGGGCAGACUAGAGUGAUGUAGGGAGACUGGAAUUCCUGGUGUAGCGGUGAAAUGCGCAGAUAUCAGGAGGAACACCGAUGGCGAAGGCAGGUCUCUGGGCAUUAACUGACGCUGAGGAGCGAAAGCAUGGGGAGCGAACAGG
rnacentral:rRNA from 1 species